GGGUUGUGAGGUUAAGCGACUAAGCGUACACGGUGGAUGCCCUGGCAGUCAGAGGCGAUGAAGGACGUGCUAAUCUGCGAUAAGCGUCGGUAAGGUGAUAUGAACCGUUAUAACCGGCGAUUUCCGAAUGGGGAAACCCAGUGUGAUUCGUCACACUAUCAUUAACUGAAUCCAUAGGUUAAUGAGGCGAACCGGGGGAACUGAAACAUCUAAGUACCCCGAGGAAAAGAAAUCAACCGAGAUUCCCCCAGUAGCGGCGAGCGAACGGGGAGCAGCCCAGAGCCUGAAUCAGUGUGUGUGUUAGUGGAAGCGUCUGGAAAGGCGUGCGAUACAGGGUGACAGCCCCGUACACAAAAAUGCACAUACUGUGAGCUCGAUGAGUAGGGCGGGACACGUGGUAUCCUGUCUGAAUAUGGGGGGACCAUCCUCCAAGGCUAAAUACUCCUGACUGACCGAUAGUGAACCAGUACCGUGAGGGAAAGGCGAAAAGAACCCCGGCGAGGGGAGUGAAAAAGAACCUGAAACCGUGUACGUACAAGCAGUGGGAGCACGCUUAGGCGUGUGACUGCGUACCUUUUGUAUAAUGGGUCAGCGACUUAUAUUCUGUAGCAAGGUUAACCGAAUAGGGGAGCCGAAGGGAAACCGAGUCUUAACUGGGCGUUAAGUUGCAGGGUAUAGACCCGAAACCCGGUGAUCUAGCCAUGGGCAGGUUGAAGGUUGGGUAACACUAACUGGAGGACCGAACCGACUAAUGUUGAAAAAUUAGCGGAUGACUUGUGGCUGGGGGUGAAAGGCCAAUCAAACCGGGAGAUAGCUGGUUCUCCCCGAAAGCUAUUUAGGUAGCGCCUCGUGAAUUCAUCUCCGGGGGUAGAGCACUGUUUCGGCAAGGGGGUCAUCCCGACUUACCAACCCGAUGCAAACUGCGAAUACCGGAGAAUGUUAUUACGGGAGACACACGGCGGGUGCUAACGUCCGUCGUGAAGAGGGAAACAACCCAGACCGCCAGCUAAGGUCCCAAAGUCAUGGUUAAGUGGGAAACGAUGUGGGAAGGCCCAGACAGCCAGGAUGUUGGCUUAGAAGCAGCCAUCAUUUAAAGAAAGCGUAAUAGCUCACUGGUCGAGUCGGCCUGCGCGGAAGAUGUAACGGGGCUAAACCAUGCACCGAAGCUGCGGCAGCGACGCUUAUGCGUUGUUGGGUAGGGGAGCGUUCUGUAAGCCUGUGAAGGUGUGCUGUGAGGUAUGCUGGAGGUAUCAGAAGUGCGAAUGCUGACAUAAGUAACGAUAAAGCGGGUGAAAAGCCCGCUCGCCGGAAGACCAAGGGUUCCUGUCCAACGUUAAUCGGGGCAGGGUGAGUCGACCCCUAAGGCGAGGCCGAAAGGCGUAGUCGAUGGGAAACAGGUUAAUAUUCCUGUACUUGGUGUUACUGCGAAGGGGGGACGGAGAAGGCUAUGUUGGCCGGGCGACGGUUGUCCCGGUUUAAGCGUGUAGGCUGGUUUUCCAGGCAAAUCCGGAAAAUCAAGGCCGAGGCGUGAUGACGAGGCACUACGGUGCUGAAGCAACAAAUGCCCUGCUUCCAGGAAAAGCCUCUAAGCAUCAGGUAACAUCAAAUCGUACCCCAAACCGACACAGGUGGUCAGGUAGAGAAUACCAAGGCGCUUGAGAGAACUCGGGUGAAGGAACUAGGCAAAAUGGUGCCGUAACUUCGGGAGAAGGCACGCUGAUACGUAGGUGAAGCGACUUGCUCGUGGAGCUGAAAUCAGUCGAAGAUACCAGCUGGCUGCAACUGUUUAUUAAAAACACAGCACUGUGCAAACACGAAAGUGGACGUAUACGGUGUGACGCCUGCCCGGUGCCGGAAGGUUAAUUGAUGGGGUUAGCGCAAGCGAAGCUCUUGAUCGAAGCCCCGGUAAACGGCGGCCGUAACUAUAACGGUCCUAAGGUAGCGAAAUUCCUUGUCGGGUAAGUUCCGACCUGCACGAAUGGCGUAAUGAUGGCCAGGCUGUCUCCACCCGAGACUCAGUGAAAUUGAACUCGCUGUGAAGAUGCAGUGUACCCGCGGCAAGACGGAAAGACCCCGUGAACCUUUACUAUAGCUUGACACUGAACAUUGAGCCUUGAUGUGUAGGAUAGGUGGGAGGCUUUGAAGUGUGGACGCCAGUCUGCAUGGAGCCGACCUUG
rnacentral:rRNA from 1 species